AUUGAACGCUGGCGGCAGGCCUAACACAUGCAAGUCGAACGAGUGGCGGACGGGUGAGUAAUGUCUGGGAAACUGCCUGAUGGAGGGGGAUAACUACUGGAAACGGUAGCUAAUACCGCAUACCAUCGGAUGUGCCCAGAUGGGAUUGGCUAGUAGGUGGGGUAAAGGCUCACCUAGGCGACGAUCCCUCGCUGGUCUGAGAGGAUGACGAGCCACACUGGACCGGAGACACGGUCCAGAUCCCUACGGGAGGCAGCAGUGGGGAAUAUUGGACAAUGGGGGCAAGCCUGAGGAAGCAAUGCCGGGUGGAUGAAGAAGGCCUUCGGGUUGUAAAGUACUUUCAGCGGGGAGGCGUUACCCGCAGAAGAAGCACCGGCUAACUCCGUGCCAGCAGCCGCGGUAAUUC
rnacentral:rRNA from 1 species